CCUACGGGAGGCUGCAGUGGGGAAUAUUGGACAAUGGGCGAAAGCCUGAUCCAGUCAUGCCGCGUGUGUGAAGAAGGCCUUCGGGUUGUAAAGCACUUUCAGUGGGGAAGAAAGCCUUGGGGCUAAUACCCUCGAGGAAGGACAUCACCCACAGAAGAAGCACCGGCUAACUCCGUGCCAGCAGCCGCGGUAAUACGGAGGGUGCGAGCGUUAAUCGGAAUUACUGGGCGUAAAGCGCGCGUAGGCGGUCUGAUAAGCCGGUUGUGAAAGCCCCGGGCUCAACCUGGGAACGGCAUCCGGAACUGUCAGGCUAGAGUGCAGGAGAGGAAGGUAGAAUUCCCGGUGUAGCGGUGAAAUGCGUAGAGAUCGGGAGGAAUACCAGUGGCGAAGGCGGCCUUCUGGACUGACACUGACGCUGAGGUGCGAAAGCGUGGGUAGCAAACAGGAUUAGAUACCCGAUAGUC
rnacentral:rRNA from 1 species